AAAGAUGAAUGCAUUAACAUUGCCUCAUUAACAACUGAGUUUUGUUUUGUUUUCCAGCUGGAUGAUAGGAAUGUUCAAUGCCAAAAAUCCUGCUUAUAGAAACUACAGCUUGUCAGAAGUUUAUGUGCUUAUUUAAAACCACAAACUAACUGCAAAGCCAGCGUCUCCUCUCUUCCUCAAGUUUAUUAAGAAUUCAGUAAAUCCCACAGAGCCAGAGCAUUCCAUCUUUUUGCCCCACAAAACCACUCGCUCAUUUGCUUUGAGACAGAGAGCAAAAAGACCAGUUUUGAUCCCAGCUUCCUAUGACUAAGAGAGAACACAAAGGUGCAUGGAGGGAAAGGCAAUGAUCAACAGUGAUGUGCCUUGCACUGAAAGCAUUAAGCACUGGGUAUCUCGGUGAUCCUGCCCCUCCUCUGAGAGGACCUUCGGGAUUCUGCCAGAAACAAAGGACGACCUUUUUUCCCC